rnacentral:rRNA from 1 species
AUUGAACGCUGGCGGCAGGCUUAACACAUGCAAGUCGAGCGGGGGAAGGUAGCUUGCUACCGGACCUAGCGGCGGACGGGUGAGUAAUGCUUAGGAAUCUGCCUAUUAGUGGGGGACAACAUCUCGAAAGGGAUGCUAAUACCGCAUACGUCCUACGGGAGAAAGCAGGGGAUAUUCGGACCUUGCGCUAAUCGAUGAGCCUAAGUCAGAUUAGCUAGUUGGUGGGGUAAAGGCCUACCAAGGCGACGAUCUGUAGCGGGUCUGAGAGGAUGAUCCGCCACACUGGGACUGAGACACGGCCCAGACUCCUACGGGAGGCAGCAGUGGGGAAUAUUGGACAAUGGGGGGAACCCUGAUCCAGCCAUGCCGCGUGUGUGAAGAAGGCCUUAUGGUUGUAAAGCACUUUAAGCGAGGAGGAGGCUACUUUAGUUAAUACCUAGAGAUAGUGGACGUUACUCGCAGAAUAAGCACCGGCUAACUCUGUGCCAGCCGCCGCAGUAA